UGGGGAAUAUUGGACAAUGGGGGCAACCCUGAUCCAGCAAUGCCGCGUGUGUGAAGAAGGUCUUCGGAUUGUAAAGCACUUUCGACGGGGACGAUGAUGACGGUACCCGUAGAAGAAGCCCCGGCUAACUUCGUGCCAGCAGCCGCGGUAAUACGAAGGGGGCUAGCGUUGCUCGGAAUGACUGGGCGUAAAGGGCGUGUAGGCGGUUUACACAGUCAGAUGUGAAAUCCCCGGGCUUAACCUGGGAGCUGCAUUUGAUACGUGUAGACUAGAGGGUGAGAGAGGGUUGUGGAAUUCCCAGUGUAGAGGUGAAAUUCGUAGAUAUUGGGAAGAACACCGGUGGCGAAGGCGGCAACCUGGCUCAUGACUGACGCUGAGGCGCGAAAGCGUGGGGAGCAAACAGGAUUAGAUACCCUGGUAGUCCACGCUGUAAA
rnacentral:rRNA from 1 species